GCCCAGAUGGCGGAAUUGGUAGACGCGCACGACUCAAACUCGUGUUCUAACGAGUGCGGGUUCGAUUCCCGCUCUGGGUACAA
rnacentral:tRNA from 2 species